rnacentral:rRNA from 1 species
CUUGUACAGGUGCUGCAUGGCUGUCGUCAGCUCGUGUCGUGAGAUGUUCGGUUAAGUCCGCUAACGAGCGCAACCCUCGCUGUGUGUUACAAGUGUCACACGGAACUGCCGGUCAUAAACCGGAGGAAGGUGGGGAUGACGUCAAGUCAGCAUGGCCUUUAUAUCCUGGGCUACACACACGCUACAAUGGGAAGGGACAAUAGGUUGCGAAGCCGCGAGGCGGAGCCAAUCCAGCAAAACUUCCCUCAGUUCAGAUUGCAGGCUGCAACUCGCCUGCAUGAAGUUGGAGUUGCUAGUAAACGCAGGUCAGCCAUACUGCGUUGAAUACGUUCCCGGGGCUU